GACGAACGCUGGCGGCGCGCUUAACACAUGCAAGUCGAACGGAAAGGCCUGCUUUGCCUUGUGGUUUGCGGGUACUCGAGUGGCUAACGGGUGAGUAACACGUGAUUGAUCUGCCCCCAACUUGGGGAUAAGCGUGGUAAUCUGGGUCUAAUUCCCGAUAGGACUGGAGGGUGGGGCCUGUGUUUGGAAGUGGGUUUCGCGUGGGUGGGGUUGGGCUCGCGGCAUGUUAGCGGGUUGGUGGGGUAAUGGCGUACCGCGGCGGCGAGGGGUAGCCGGGCUGAGAGGGUGGACGGCGAGAUUGGACCUGGGCUACGGGCCAGACUCAUAGGCGAGGCAGCAGUGGGGGAUAGUGGACGAGGGGCGGAAGCCUGAUGCAGCGGCGCCGUGUGGCGGAUGACGGCCUUCGGGUUGUAACCUCCUUUCGAAAGCGACGAAGGCAACUGGUUGGGAGGGUGGUGACGGUAGUGGUAGAAGAAGCACCGGCUAACUACGUG
rnacentral:rRNA from 1 species